UACAGAGGUGGCAAGCGUUGUUCGGAAUUACUGGGCGUAAAGGGCGCGUAGGCGGUCAGGUCAGUCCCGUGUGAAAUCCCUCGGCUCAACUGAGGAACUGCACGGGAAACUGCCUGGCUUGAGUUCGGGAGAGGGAAGCGGAAUUCCGGGUGUAGCGGUGAAAUGCGUAGAUAUCCGGAGGAACACCGGUGGCGAAGGCGGCUUCCUGGACCGACACUGACGCUGAGGCGCGAAAGUGUGGGGAGCGAACAGG
rnacentral:rRNA from 1 species